GCCGUGGUGACCCGUGGGCUAAUGGGAAAGGACCUUGGUUCUAUUUGGCUUUUUCCUGACGUAUGAUCAGAGAACAAUAACCUGGCUUCUCUGGGGAUGCAUUCCCUCACUCAAAAAAAAGGUGAGUUCCCACCCUCCAACAACUGUUUCCCUGGGUAGCCGUGAUGAUUAGGGGAUCUAAUGAUGGGAAAGGCGCUUUACAAACCCCAAAGCCUAGGGUGAAUACAAGCGACUGUUUCUGUCUUUACCCGUAUGUUUCCUAACUGUCAAAGCAUGUGGAACCCCGCUUCAGACUUGUUCUUCAUUCGUUUCUGAAACAGGGCCGAGAAUGGCUGAGGCUUGCCGCCAACUCACUGUAUAGGAUUCUUGUCUCUCCCUUCCAGAGGGUGCUGAGAUUAUAGCAUUGGUGCCAUGCCGGGGUUGAUGGAGUACUGCGGAUCAAUGGCGGGGCCUCCCACAUGCUAGGCAAAUAUUCUACCAACUGAAUCUUAUCCCCAACCUGGAAAGUUUUCGGCACCCAAGAACCUUACCUAUAUUAUUAUUAACCUUUAAGAAUAUGUGAGGGGGUUGGGGAUUUAGCUCAGUGGUAGAGCGCUUGCCUAGGAAGCGCAAGGCCCUGGGUUCAGUCCCCAGCUCCGGAAAAAAAGAACCAAAAAAAAAAAAAAAAGAAUAUGUGAGCUACAACAAUGGCUGACACGAUCUUUCCCCGGGCCCAACAGUUGGCAAGGCUAUUAUGAGAACAACCAACCCCUUUCUGAUUGGAUUUAAGAUCCACUCCGAAGAAGAAGACACAUGCCUGGGGUUGUAGAUCCGCAAAGAUUCCACGGUUGGGCGACUCAGGCUCAGAAGGUGAAUUUACUAUUAUUUUUGCUAAAUACAGCAUUGCUUUUCAAAUGCUCAUGUCUAUAUCCAAAGACUCCAGGAGCUCUCUCAGCAGUGAAUGGUGGGUGCCUCUGGGCAGUGGUGGUUAACACGGACACUCGCAAGGUCAGGAUGCAGAGGACUCGGGUCUGUGGAGUGCUGAACCACACCUGGGACAACUAUGUCAUUUCCCGCCAAGGCUUGGUCAGGAGAGCAGGCAGGACGAUGGUAAAAACUCGAGGUUGGGUAGGACUGGGCUGAAGCUGUGUCUGAAGCUGGAUAUGGCAGGGUUGUCCUGCUCCCAGAGCCUCAGCAGCUGUGUUUUCCUGCACAAGAUCAAGCCAAUUAACAUCCCAGGGUGGAGGGGGAGGGGUCAUUCUAGCUUCUUUUCUGUGUCUGUGAGGAAACAAAAGCAACCCAAGGAAGGAAAGGGCUUACUUAUUUGGCUUACACCUCCAGGUCCCCUUCACUGAGGGAGGGCAGGGCAGGAGCAGAAGCCCCAGAGGAACUGUGUUCACUGCCUCAAGCAUACCCACGCUGAGGACAGAAGCGCCUGGUCAGGAGUGGUACUGCCUACAGCAGGCUGUGUCCUUCAGCAACUGCCAUCAAGACAACGUCUACUGACGUGACUGUAUGACAAUCCGAUUGAGGCCAUUUUUCAGGUGAGAGUCUUUCUUCCCAGGUGGCGACCCUAUGCUGUGUCUGAAAUUGACAACCGAACUCUCCAGGAACUCCUGAGCCCCCACCUCUAGCUGAAGAGCUAGUGACAGUUGGUGGCUUACAGCAGAGGCAGUUUAUUUUAAGUAUGUGGUAUUGGUUGACCACACUCUGGUGGAGAGGCUCUCACACAUAAAUAUGUGCGGCACAAAUUGGUCUUGGUGAGUUAUUAGGGGGGAAGAAGAGGGUUGGGAGGGUAUUGGGGUGGAUCUGGGAGGAGUCAGGAGAUGCCUAUGAAUAAAAAUACGUUGUAUGCACAUCUGAAACUCUCGAAAGUUAAUAAAAAAUAUUGUGUCAAAAAUAAACAUGUGGGGGUUGGGGAUUUAGCUCAGUGGUAGAGCACUUGCCUAGCAAGCGCAAGGCUCUGGGUUCCAUCCCCAGCUCCGAAAAACAAUAACAACAACAACAACACCCCCCCCAAAAAAAAAAGCAUGUGGGCUCUUCCCUGUUCUGACUUCAACGUGGAACACCCUUCAGUGUGUUUGAACACUUAACAGCACUAACACAAAUCCAGCAGGCUUGGUUUACUGGAAGCAUCAAGAGGGGCACUCAGGAGUAAACAAUACUGGCUGGGGCUGAGUUCUCUGUCCCAAGCUGGCUUGCCUGCUGCUAGGGGCUGGGAGUGCUUGUCUCUCUCUCUCUCCUCUGUCAGAUCUUCCCACAGGCUGAGACUCGACCUCUACACCCAAACACACGCGCAUAGACACACACAGACAGACAGACAAACACACAGAUGCACACACAGACAUAGUUCCCCCCUCCGUCCCCCCCCCCACCUGCUCCCUGACUUCCCACAGCUCUGUGCUACCUGUUGUCUUUACAAACAGGUGACAAGCAGGGCUGAGCUGAACAGUUUGUUACUGUGGCUGAGCCUUUGCCUCCCUUAGGGCAACGCUGCUUGUGAAGAACUUGUUACUUAAGUAACGGAAUCUGUGCUCCGACUUUAGGAGUUCUGUUGGCCCUGAGAGGAAAGGCAGGGCCAACAGGAAGUGGGUAUCCUUUGUCCUUUAGACACAGAGAUUGAAAGAGAAGAUGGUUACAGUCCGCACUCCACUCGGGAGGGAAGUCAGACUUCUCUUGUGAGUUCAAAGGCGUCCCUGAGAAGAGCUGGAGUGGCCUUUAAAGUGAAAAGCUUAGGUGAUUUAAAUGAGCAAGCCUUCACAGACUCGGAGAAGGUAAGCAACAGGUGUGGCCAGCACCGUGAAGAAGCGACGACCAGAGAGGGCAAACGGUGUCUGACGAUGUCAUCUGUCUGAAAAAUCGCGUGUAGCUGCAGGUAUGUGAGUGUGUGUGGCGAAGAGACAGGGAAGGAGGAGGUCGGCCAUUAACAGGACCUGAAUGAGGAACGGGAGGGGCGGAGAGGGGUGUGUCAGGAAAAGGGGUGACUCUCUUUUUGGUUAUCUGCACUCGCCCGCGAGUUGUUUUCUUUUCCUUGUGCAGAUUAAAAUAAAAGCAAAGAAAUCUAACGGCCAGAAGAGGCCCCGAAGUCACUCUUUAAUCUAUAGAAAACUCUUAAAUUUUUAAGAAUAUGAGUCUUCUGGGACAAAGACCUUCCUGGUCUGGGCAUAUUGAAUAAACCGGUUUGCAAGCUGAUUCAGACUCCUGCUCUAACCAAAGAAGGUAGAUGACAUAGAAUAUCUUGGGAAACUCUCCCCAGCAAACAAAAAGGAAACAUUUCUCUCUCCUUCCUUCUCCUCCUCUUCUUUCUCCUCUCCUCCCUCCCCUCCCUCCCCUUCUUCCUUCUCUCUCUCCCCUCCCCCCCCCUCUGCUCCAUAUUUGUCCCUGCAUUUCUUGUACAUGGGGUAAGCUAGACCCAAAGGGACACACAUGGUAUGUACUCACUUAGAAGUGGAUAUCAGCCAUUUUAAAGGAAUGGGCAAAUCUCAGAGGACCCAGAGUCCUUGGGACUAUCAUUUAACAGGCACAUCCUACUUAAAAGGACCCAAUCAUGCAUUUGAAUAUUAAAGGGAAGAAGUCACAGUUAAAAACCAGCCCCUCUCAGAACUGGGGGCUGUGUUCCCUCAGCGCUGGUUUUUGGUUGGCACAGUAAGACAAUCUUACCGCCUUUCGGCUUUUAGAUUAAUUUUUAUGUUUUUGCUUUUUUCUGGCCUUUUUUUUUUUUUUUUUGGUUGCUAUUCUUUGUCUGAGAUAGGGUCUUCUGUAGCCCAGGCUAGUUUGGAACUCCCUAUGUAGCCGAGGAUGGCCCUGAACUUCUGACCCUCCUUCCUUUCCCAGGGUUGAGUUUAUAAAGCUGUGCUGUCACAACAGGUUUUGUGCAGGGCUGGGGACAGAGCCCAGGGCUUCCCGGCCGCCAGGCAAGCACUCUGCUCACAGAGCCUCCCCCAGCCCCUGGAUUACCUUUAAACCAAACCAAACCAAACCAAAACAAAACAAAAACCCAAACAAACCCCAAAACCAAAACCAAAUCCUAAGCACGUGGGUGCUUCAGUACAGUGCUUGGUACCUGUGAGGCCAGAAGAGGGUGUUGGAUCCCUGAAGCUGCCGGGCGGGUGCUGGGAAUCAAACCUGGGUCCUUGGGAAGAGCAGCCAUUGCUCCUUAACUACAGAAUCAUUUGUCUAAUCCUUUUUCCUUUUUUUUUUUUUUUUUUUUUCAGAGCUGGGGACUGAACCCAGGGCCUUGCGCUUGCUAGGCAAGCGCUCUACCACUGAGCCAAAUCCCCAACCCCCUUUUCUUUUUUUUAAAAAAGAUUUAUUUAUUCAUUUUAUGUAUAUGAGUACACUCUAGCUGUCUUCAUGCACACCAAAAGAGGGCAUCAGAUCUCAUUUCAGAUGGUUGUGAGCCACCAUGUGGUUGCUGGGAAUUGAACUCAGGACCUCUGGAAGAGCAGUCAGUGCUCUUAACCACUGAGCCAUCUCUCCAGCCCCAGUCCUUCUUCAAGUGAAUUAGAUGAAGGUUUAAUUUCACAACUACCUGUGAAUUCAGCUCCAGGAAACCCCACACACCCUGUUCUGGACUCACAAGGUAUUUGUGCCCAGACCCCCAGGCUGACACACACACACUCGCACACACACACACUUUAAAAAAUUGAUCUAAAAAUAAAUAAAAAGAAUUGAGACCCUAUUUUACAAAAAUAAAAAAAAAUUGUUUUUGAAGAAGCCAGGCAGUGAUGGUGUACACCUUUAAACCCAGCACUUGGGAGACAGAGGCAGGUGGAUCUCUGUGAGUGCAAGGCCAGCCUGGUCUGCACAGUGAGUUCCAAGACAGCCAAGUGACACAGAAAAACCCUGUCUUGAAAAAAAAAAAAAAACAAAAAAAAAAGAAAAAAUACAUUGAGAAAAAAAUGGGGGUAGGGGUAGGUCUGCAGAGAUGGCUCAUGGGUUAAGAACAUUUGCUGCUCUUAAAGAGACCCCAGGUUAUCUCCCAGCUGGUUAACUCAUUAUCACAUCUAACACCAGCUCAGGGAUCUGAUGCUCUCUCCUGCCCUCCACAGGUGUCCACACACAUGUGGCAUACACAGACACAGAUGCAAGCGUAUGCACAUAAAUAAAAAAUGCAUUUAAAGAAGAGGACUGGGUACAGAGGUACAGGGCUUAGCCUGGGCGUGGUCCACCAUUUAAUUCCUAGAACUACAAUGAAUCAGUCGAUCAAUCAAUAAAUAGCCAAUGAAAUAAAUAAAUACCAAUGAAAACGAGUCAGUAAAUAAUAAAAACACCCUCUCAUUGAUAACUCCUGGAAAGAGGUGAGGGUGGGGCAUAGCUUAGUUGAUGGAGUGCUUAUUUGGUAUAUGCAGGUUCCAGCAUGUUCGGUUUUCCAGAACUGAGUCAAACAGACAUGGAGACACUAAGCCAGCAUUGUAGCCUAGAAUUUCAAUCUCAGUACUUGGGAGGCAGAGGCAGGUAGAGCUCUGUGAGGUUAAGGAGGACUUGGUCUACAGGAUGAAUAUCUGUCUCAAAAAAAAAAAAAUCAAAUACAGCAGCAAUGAAAUAACCAUUCUGAAUUCUAUCUUCCUGAGAUUUACAUGGUUUCUAAAAAUGGCACGGGAACCAAAGGUUUAAAAAAAAAAAAAGAAAAGAAAAAAAUAAUAAAGACUGGGAGCCUAAUGUAAGCAGUUUUCAGUGACUCAAGACUUCUUUUAAGUCAUGCAUUCACAUGGUGUGUGUGUGUGUGUGUGUGUGUGUGUGUGAGUGUGUGUGUGUGAGUGUGUGUGUCUGUCUGUGUGUGUGAGUGUGUGUGUCUAUGUGUGUGAGUGUGUGUGUCUGUGUGUGAGUGUGUGUGAGUGUGUGUGUCUGUCUGUGUGUGUCUGUGUGUGUGUGUCUGUGUGUGUGAGUGUGUGUCUGUCUGUGUGUGUGUCUGUGUGUGUGUCUGUGAGUGUGUGUCUCUGUGUGUGUGUCUGUGUGUGUGAGUGUGUGUGUGUCUGUGUGUGUGUCUGUGAGUGUGUGAGUGUGUGUCUCUGUGUGUGUGUCUGUGAGUGUGUGUGUGUCUGUGAGUAUGUGAGUGUGUGUGUCUGUGUGUCUCUGUGUGUGUCUGUGAGUGUGUGUGUGAGUGUGUGUGUGUCUGUGAGUGUGUGAGUAUGUGUGUGUCUGUGUGUCUGUGUGUGUGUGUGUGUCUGAGUGUGUGUGCGCGCACAUGUGCGAUCUCUCUCAAAAGGGGAUUUAUCAGACUGACUCUUGUACGUGGUCCGGGAAGCCCAACAAUGGCUGCCUCUCACUGGAGAGGCCAAGAACCUGCUAGUUGUUCAGAUCAUAGUCCACAAGGCUGGAUGUCCCAGUAGCCCCGCCCUGGUGCUGCAGCCCUGGAGGAUUCCCAGAGAGCUACAGGACCUCAAUCUACACAGGAAUCCUGAAGAACUUAGUUACAAUAUCUGUGAAGGAAUGUCAGCAAUGGGACACAUGAACUUGGCAGCCAGAGUGAGGGCAAGCAGGCAAAAAGCCUGAAGUGUUCUUAAUAAACUAGAGUCAGAGGUACCUAUCACUUCCUCCUGUGGCUUUCUACAAACAGACCCAGGAACCGCGUGGCUGGAGCUGUCCGAGGUCAUCACUAUCAGGAGGUUGGGUGCCAUCUUGGAGACUGGUUACCACACUGACAACAGAACGUUGCAGAAGGUUGUUCCUGGCUGUAUCACUGAGCCACAUCCCCAGGGUCCAGGUCUCGAACUCAGAUCACUGGGCUUAGCGGCAAGCUCUUUGGUGCCAUAUCAUAGCCCCUCAUCAACUUUCCAUGAGGUAUCACUGACUACAUGAACCUGUACGGCCUGAAUCUUGUUGGUGGUAAGACAUGAUUUCACCAGUCUAAGUGCUGGACAACAACAUUCAGUCUCUCCUCUCCCCUCCCCCAGUUUUCUUCUAUCCUUUCCCUUCCUUUCCUUCUGUAGGGGAACAGUUCUCAACCUGUGGGUGUUAAGAGCCACCGCUGUAUGCAUGUGUCCCGGGCUGGCCUGUAGGUUGCUGUGCAGCCAAAAUGACAGCUUGGGCCUCUGCUGCUUCUCCAGGAGAUUGUGUGCAUUUCCGUUAUGGCUGGUCUUGUCUGUCUGUUUGUUUUGUUUUGUUUUUACUGAGACUCAGACCCCUGGCUUCACGCAUGCUAGGUAAAUAUUCUAACAACGGAACCACAUCUCCAGCCCGUUUUUUCAACUUUUGGUUUCCUUUUUGAGGCAGGAUCUUGCUGUUUCCUGGCUGCCCUGAGACUCACUGUGUAGACCAGACUGGCCGUGUACUUCCAGCAAUCUUCCUGUCUCCGCCCCCUGAGCGCUGAAAUCAUAGGAAAGAAUUACCACGUCCAAUUUACACUGGGAAACCUGAGUUCCAGGCAUGGCUUGCGCCUCCUGUCUUAGUGGGAAAGUUGUCCUGUAGGCUACCCAGUGCUGGUCUGACCUCCUUUCUGUGUAUAUGUAACUUCUUAGAAAGACCUUUCGGUAGCCCUCUUGACUCUAGGCUCUCCUCCCCUCUCAGAGACAAGGUCUCAUUAUGUAGAUCAGGCUGGCCUCAAAUCAUAGAGAUCCACCUGGCCCUGGCCCUGCUGGGAGUGCGGGGAUCAAAGGUGUGCGCCACUAUGCCCAGUUUGUCUCUCCUCUCUUUUAGGGCCUAAUUUUGUAUUUUUUGUGGCACUCCACAAAAUACAAUUUUUUAUUAUUUAGAAAAUGAUUUAUUGAUUCUCCACCCCUAGAAAUAUAAACUCCUUGCCAAGCACAUCCACUUUAGUAUUUAUCCUCUGUUCCUAGUAUGAUGCCUGGUAUACGUAAAAGCUAUCUAUGAACUCUGAGUUAAUUAUUGAGGUCUGAGAUAUACACAGCUCGGUGGCAGAGUGCUUGCUUAACAUGCAAGAACCCUGGGUUCAAUCACAGCACGCGCACGCUCACACGCGCACACACACACAUACACACAUAUACACACAUACACACACAUACACACACAUACACACAUACACACAUACACACACAUACACACAUACACACACAUACACACAUACACACACACGCACACGCACACACACACACACAAUCUGUGAAUUCAUUAUUGACUCUGGGAGUGUAGUCACAGGCAGGUGACCAGUAUUUGAUCAUAGUCAGUUUGAUUUAUACGCAGGUGGCUUUUACUUGUUUUCUGUGCAAGGGUUGCCUUUCUGUGGAGUGGUGAUGCCCGGAUGUCUGUGCCGUGUGCACUGCGAGCACGAAGCUGCCAUGCCCGUUGAUACCAGAUGGAGGCAUCAUAGUAGACCUGUAUUACUAUUUCUUCUUCCUCCCGCCCCCUCCUCUUCUUCUUCUUCCUCCUCAUUGUUAUUUAUAUGUAUAUGUAUUUAUGUACAUGUGCCUAAAUAGGUCACCUGGAACUGGGGUUACAGGCAGUACUGUGGGUGCUGGGUGCUGUGGGUGCUGGGUGCUGGGUACUGUGGGUGCUGUGGGUGCUGGGUGCUAUUGGGUGCUGGGUGCUGGGUGCUGGGAGUGGAACUCAGGUCCUUUGCAAGAACAGUAAGUCCACGCUCUUUUCAGCUAAGCCGUCUGUCCAGCCUCACUGUUUUUCCUCCUGAGGUAGGGCCUUACUACUGAAUGCCCAGGCUGGCCUCGAACGUUGGCAGUCCUCUCACCUCAGGUCCCCUCAGUGGCUGGAUUACAAGGGUGAGCCACCCUACUCUGCUUGAAUCAUCUCUUUAAGCCCAUGGAUGGGCCAGAAUUCCUCCAGUUCCAGUCAAGGUAGGGGUUACAGUCAGGGAGCACUCAGCCCGCUUUAUUCUAUCAUAGGCUUCCCUUUGUUUCCGGUAAGAAUCUCUUCGCUGCGGCUGGCCCACAGGAGACGAUUAACCUAUCAAUGCGAGGAUCUCUUUGGGAUCCAGAAUUUGGUCUAAAGUUUUCAUCUUGUCUUUAGAAGCUGUCCAGGCAUGCGGGUUUAUGGAUCAAUUGUCUGUAAUUACCCCUUAAAACAAUGCCUGCGCCCAAAUAAAAGAUUAAUCAACGAUGCCCCUGGGCCCGUGCCCGAAUCAAAGAUUAAUCAAGGAGCUCUCUACUUGUCCCGAGAUUUAGACUUCAAGCCCUGCCCCGACUUGGUGCAGCAGUGCCUGGCGCAUUCGUCCCCAUGCCUGAGGUGUUUGGAUUCGGUGUCUCAAGAAAAAUAGCUGUUGGUCACCAAGGCCUGAAGCUUAAUUGAAUUUGCCUUAAUGCAUUUUGCCUUCUGACUUGCCAGCGUGGGAGUGGGAGCUGACGUCAGGAGACACGCCUCCUAAUACCCGAUCUUUGAGAGCGAGCGAGGUGUCUGAGGAUGUGGGAAGCCAUGAGAACGAGGAAGUUGUGGAUGUCUUGUAGGAUUUCUUUUCCAUCCUCUUAGCUUUAGGCAUUGACAAAUGAUGUAUCAGUCACCCCAGUAUCACCCAGAAUCAAGACAAGAGACCUAAAGUGAACUAUGACAUCAUUUUGGAAGAGUCCUGUGGUUUUUAUUUUGGUUGGAGUUGGCAUUUGAUUUAGGCUCCGCCCCACAGUUACCUGGCAACAGCCAGGUGAGCCUGACUCACUAUAAAAGGGGCUGCUUGGGUUGGGGAUUUAGCUCAGUGGUAGAGCGCUUGCCUAGCAAGCGCAAGGCCCUGGGUUCGGUCCUCAGCUCCGAGAGGAAAAAAAAAGGGGGGGGACUGCUUGCCCCCCCCUCUCUUGUCCUCUUGCUCUCUCUCUUCUUCCUGCUCCCCACCUCUCCCCGUUCCCCUCCCCUACUCUCUCUCCACUGCUCUUGGCCAGCCUCUACUUUUUCUCUCUCUCUCUCCCUCUCCCCUCCCCCUCCCUCUCUGCUCCCCUCCCCAUGCCUUGAAUAAACUCUAUUCUACACUAUAUCUCGGGGGUGGGUGGGGGGAUGCCUCAGCACAGGCCCACAGAUGCACUCCCUCACCCCCCACUGUGCCUAGACCAAACAUAUUCCUUCCUUCUUACCUUUUUUAUAAAACACACUGGUUAUAAACUCCUUUUUUCUUUUAGGGAACAAGAAGACAUGGGAAGGACGCCCUGGUUUGCCUUCCUGUUACUACAAUAAACAUCUUGACCAGAAGAAGUAA